AUCUACAGUGGUAUCGGUGUGCUUUCAUCAUCAACAUCAAUAAUCGAUGUCUAAAACAACUAUAUUUGAACUGUAGAUUCUACAGUUCAAAUAUUAAUUAUGAAUUAUGUUCCCUUUUAGAUCUUGAGGUAUAAUGGUUUUUAACGUUAUUACAGGAGUGAGAACCAUAGUCGCUGGCGCGCUUGGCGCUGGAUAUUGCGGCGGCUGCGGCGGCGUGAUAUGACGUCGGCAGAAAAUCAGGAAGACUUGCAAUGUCCGACGGAGGAGCUCCAUGUUGGAGUUGGAGCGUAAGAAGGAAAAGACCACGAAGAUUACCACGGAUUUAUUUUAGAACAUACAGCACACAGAGACUACAUGAGAUCGAGUGAUUGAUCCAGAAGCCUGGAAGCCUUACAUUGACAGCGGAGUGCCAAAUUCAAAUAUGCUUGCGUUUAACCAAAAAGUUUCUAACUUUCCAACACUCCAGGCCGACGUGGCAGAGACAGAGGAGUGGCUUGAGCCAUCAGAGUUCCUGGCAGCACUACGGGCCUGGCCUGGAGUGCCGUGGCGGCGACCUCCGAGGAGACCACGGCGCAGUUGUCCAUACGUGGACGUAUCCUCGGAGCAGACGCUUAUUCAACAUAUACGAGGAUUAAGAGCCCUAUUAACUUUUUGCACCUUAGUUAAAUUGUUAAUAGGGCUCCAUCUAUUUUAAUGAACUUUGUAAAUAUUGUAAAUAGUAGAAUAGGUUAUGUAGAUUUAGUAUUUCAUUUGUAAUUAUUUGAUAAUUAGCUAGAUUAAGUUGACUGUAAAUAAAUUUGUACAGAAA